rnacentral:tRNA from 1 species
GCGGACGUAGCUCAACGGUAGAGCGUUCUCGUUCUUCACCCACCUUGCCCGGCGACGGGCCGACCGAGGAGCGUUAUCGAUCAUAAUCGAAAGGUUGCCGGUUCGAAUCCGGCCGUCUGCACCA